GACGAAGGUGGCGAGCGUUGUUCGGAAUCACUGGGCAUAAAGCGCACGUAGGCGGCGACGUAAGUUGGGUGUGAAAUCCCUCGGCCCAACCGAGGAACUGCGCCCAGUACUGCGUUGCUUGAGGAUCCAAGGGGUGCAUGGAAUUCCCGGUGGAGCGGUGAAAUGCGUUGAUAUCGGGAGGAACUCCGGCGGCGAAAGCACUCUGCUGGGCCGACACUGACACUGAGAGACGAAAGCUAGGGGAGCGAAUGGG
rnacentral:rRNA from 1 species